rnacentral:misc_RNA from 1 species
GAUGAAGAACGUAGCGAAAUGCGAUAAGUAGUGUGAAUUGCAGAAUUCAGUGAAUCUUCGAAUCUUUGAACGCACAUUGCGCCCUUUGGUAUUCCAUGGGGCAUGCCUGUUCGAGCGUCAUUUGUACCUUCAAGCUCUGCUUGGUGUUGGGUGUUUGUCUCGCCUCUGCGUGUAGACUCGCCUCAAAACAAUUGGCAGCCGGCGUAUUGAUUUCGGAGCGCAGUACAUCUCGCGCUUUGCACUCAUAACGACGACGUCCAAAAGUACAUUUUUACACUCUUGACCUCGGAUCAGGUAGGGAUACCCGCUGAACUUAAGCAUAUCAAUAAGCGGAGGA